GGAUGGACCCGCGGUGCAUUAGCUAGUUGGUGAGGUAACGGCUCACCAAGGCCACGAUGCAUAGCCGACCUGAGAGGGUGAUCGGCCACAUUGGGACUGAGACACGGCCCAAACUCCUACGGGAGGCAGCAGUAGGGAAUAUUGCGCAAUGGGGGCAACCCUGACGCAGCCAUGCCGCGUGAAUGAAGAAGGCCCUCGGGUUGUAAAGUUCUUUCGGUAGCGAGGAAGGCAUUUAGUUUAAUAAACUAGGUGAUUGACGUUAACUACAGAAGAAGCACCGGCUAACUCCGUGCCAGCAGCCGCGGUAAUACGGAGGGUGCGAGCGUUAAUCGGAAUAACUGGGCGUAAAGGGCACGCAGGCGGUGACUUAAGUGAGGUGUGAAAGCCCCGGGCUUAACCUGGGAAUUGCAUUUCAUACUGGGUCGCUAGAGUACUUUAGGGAGGGGUAGAAUUCCACGUGUAGCGGUGAAAUGCGUAGAGAUGUGGAGGAAUACCGAAGGCGAAGGCAGCCCCUUGGGAAUGUACUGACGCUCAUGUGCGAAGCGUGGGGAGCAAACAGG
rnacentral:rRNA from 1 species